rnacentral:rRNA from 1 species
GAUGAACGCUGGCGGCGUGCUUAACACAUGCAAGUCGAACGGUGAAGUAGAGCUUGCUCUGUGGAUCAGCGGCGAACGGGUGAGUAACACGUGAGCAAUCUGCCCCUGACUCUGGGAUAAGCGCUGGAAACGGCGUCUAAUACCGGAUACGAGCUGCGAAGGCAUCUUCAGCAGCUGGAAAGAAUUUCGGUCAGGGAUGAGCUCGCGGCCUAUCAGCUUGUUGGUGAGGUAACGGCUCACCAAGGCGUCGACGGGUAGCCGGCCUGAGAGGGUGACCGGCCACACUGGGACUGAGACACGGCCCAGACUCCUACGGGAGGCAGCAGUGGGGAAUAUUGCACACUGGGCGAAAGCCUGAUGCAGCAACGCCGCGUGAGGGACGACGGCCUUCGGGUUGUAAACCUCUUUUAGCAGGAAAGAAGCGAAAGUGACGGUACCUGCAGAAAAAGCGCCGGCUAACUACGUGCCAGCCGCCGCCGUAAGAC